GACACCUCCUCCCCCUCAUAGAGGAUCUUCGCACCGGGCCGCUCCGCAGACACGUCUCUCCGGUUCCUCUGCCUGGAAACACCGCACACUAAUCAGAACCGGCGGCCGACAGAGACGGACGGGCUCUCGUAGGCUCCGCGGGGUCCAUUAGGUGUGGGUUUUGGACGACUGUGACGAUGGGAGGAGAACAGAGUCAGGAGAAGACAGAGCAGACAGAGGAGGAAAACCAUCAGGAGAGUUCCAGCGCCGACAGUUCAGCGCCUCCGACUCCUGAAGACCCCCCAGGAGAGCUGCCCCAGUGCCUCAUGGGAAACAGGAAGGUGGACAAUAUGUGCUUCAUGAUCGCAUGCACCAACUGGUAUUAACAACACUCUGCUAGUCAGAGAUGGACAGAAGGAAAUGGAAGAGGAGGAGGAGGAGGAGGAGGAGGAGUGGAGUCUGAGACGUCUGUUCAGUCUGAGGAGAACGACGCUUCACUGCCGCACUUAGAAGAAGCAGAAGCAGAAGCAGAAGCAGGGUGUUUGUCCGUUAAAUGCUGCUUGGGGCUAAUUGGGUCCAGUUGUUGCUAUGCUGUUCACAAUAUACACCUUUUGUUUUUCUUUUUUAGUUAAUUGUUUUUGUAAGUAAAUAAAUAAAUAAAAUUCCACUAUUUUCUAGGGCCCCUGUCAGUCAUAGGUCUGUAGUAUCAUUACUUUUCUCACCCUUACACUGGAAAAAAAUCAAAAUCUGACCAAAAUAAUUUUCACCAGUUCCACUGGCAGAUUUUUUUUUUUUUUUUUUUGCAGGAAUUAAGCAAAAAGAUCUUG